rnacentral:rRNA from 1 species
UUAAUAGCAUAUUCAUUUGACGUUAGCUGCAGAAGAAGCACCGGCUAACUCCGUGCCAGCAGCCGCGGUAAUACGGAGGGUGCGAGCGUUAAUCGGAAUUACUGGGCGUAAAGCGCAUGCAGGUGGUUUGUUAAGUCAGAUGUGAAAGCCCGGGGCUCAACCUCGGAAUUGCAUUUGAAACUGGCAAACUAGAGUACUGUAGAGGGGGUAGAAUUUCAGGUGUAGCGGUGAAAUGCGUAGAGAUCUGAAGGAAUACCGGUGGCGAAGGCGGCCCCCUGGACAGAUACUGACACUCAGAUGCGAAAGCGUGGGGAGCAAACAGGAUUAGAUACCCUCGGUAG